AUGGAGAACUACGGCAGAAGUGCCUUUGGGGUCUCCCAUAAGGAAAAAAGAAUACCUGCUGGCACUGCUAGUCAGCAGCCUGCUGGAGAAAAUUUUGAAAUCCUUGUGAACCAAUUAGCUCCUGUUUUCAGCAUGAAGCCUGCUAUUCCUUCGAAGCCCCUUCAGAAUUUAGAUGUUCCUGCCAGCAAGGAAGGAGACCUUGGGAAGGCAGCCAAUGAGGAGAAGCCACGAGCAGCAGUCUCUCGCGACACCCUGUACGAGGCGGUGCGGGAAGUCCUGCACGGGAACCAGCGCAAGCGCCGCAAGUUCCAGGAGACGGUGGAGUUGCAGAUCAGUUUGAAGAACUAUGACCCCCAGAAGGACAAGCGUUUCUCGGGCACCGUCAGGCUUAAGUCCACUCCUCGCCCCAAGUUCUCUGUGUGUGUCCUGGGGGACCAGCAGCACUGUGACGAGGCCAAGGCCGUGGAUAUCCCCCACAUGGACAUCGAGGCGCUGAAAAAACUCAACAAGAAUAAAAAACUGGUCAAGAAGCUGGCCAAGAAGUAUGAUGCAUUUUUGGCCUCAGAGUCUCUGAUCAAGCAGAUUCCACGAAUCCUCCGGCCCAGGCCUAAAUAAGGCGGGAAAGUUCCCCUCCCUGCUCACACACAAUGAAAACAUGGUGGCCAAAGUGGAUGAGGUGAAGUCCACGAUCAAGUUCCAAAUGAAGAAGGUGUUAUGUCUGGCUGUGGCUGUUGGUCACGUGAAGAUGACAGACGAUGAGCUUGUGUAUAACAUUCACCUGGCUGUCAAUUUCUUGGUGUCGUUGCUCAAGAAAAACUGGCAGAAUGUCCGGGCCUUAUAUAUCAAGAGCACCAUGGGCAAGCCCCAGCGCCUAUAUUAAGGCACAUUUGAAUAAAUUCUAUUACCAGUAAAAAAAAAAAAAAA